GACCUGAGCACAGAAACCCAGACUCAGUCGUUGCAAGGGGAACCUGAGAGUCUACAUUUUCACAAGUUCCCAGAUGCUGAUGAGAGUAUAUAGUCUAGAGACCAUCCUUGGCACACC
ensembl:miRNA predicted gene, 44327